rfam:Hordeum vulgare subsp. vulgare, WGS project CAJW01000000 data, contig: morex_contig_2559184
UUUCUACUCCCUCCGUCCGGAAAUAUUUGUCCUAAAAUGUAUAUAAUGGAUGUAUCUAUAACUAAAAUAACUCUAGAUACAUUCAUCUCUAGCACAAGUAUUUUCGGACGGAGGGAGUACUAC